UAUUGGCAUGCCUGGUGGACCAGGUGGCAGGGGCGGCGUGCUUUUGGUGAAUUUGUUAGCCCACCAUGCAUAACAGAAAGUGGCUAGUGCGGCUGCCAAAACAAUUGCUGCCGCUCUGAUGAUGUUAUACGUAGCGAGUCCCUCGCAGGCAAGAACUGCGACCUCAUCAUAGAAGUCCGGCAUCAUUAAGGUAUAUGUCCGAAGAUAGAAAGCAGAAGAAAUGGACUUAUGUAUAGCUCUACUGAACAUGUUUUUCCCCAGGCUUUGCAAGGAAACUGUUAUUCAAUCUAGAAGAAAAGUCAGAUUAUAACUUUCUUACAUGUCUCUUUCACAUUGUGGACAUCUUUUCCUCAAAAACAUCAUUGCAACAGUGUGCUGAUUGUAGAUUAUUGACUUGUUUCUUCAAACCUUCAUCGAAACAACUAAAGCUUUAAUUACAUGAGAUAACUUUUCUCUUUCUGAGCCCUACUACGUGACGAGAUACUUAUAGGUAACACAUAUUUGGGUCUUUUAGAUGCUAAUCUGAAUCCAAGUUACAACCCUGAUGAGAUUUUAAUCGUCUUCUACGACUUCUGAGAUUAAGGUACAUUCUGCAACACAUGAUACUAAUGGCAAUCGAUGAUAGUAACGCAAGAGUCGUUGAUGAUGAUUGACGAGACAUUCACUCAUGAAAAAAAUAUUUACACGUCAUCAUAACCAAAAUUUCCAAUAGCCAGAAUCACAUUUUUCAACAAGUUUAUCUUUUAUGGUCACUUACAAGUCAAGUACAGGCAAAUCUUUCUUACACUCAAUCAUGCAUAACGUGCAGGAAGAGAUAAGAGCGAUUGACCCUUAUUUUUCAUCAUCAAUGAUGUCACCUGAAGUGCAAUUAAAAUUGUUUGACACCAUCGCAUACAGUGUGCUAUAUGCAUACACCGAUAUUGUAUAAAAAAAAGCAAAAACAAUUAUUAAAAAUGAAAUGUUAUUUACGUAAAAUAAUUAAAAUAAAUAAAUAUUAUUUUAAACAAAACAACUAAGAGAAGUGAAAAAUUACUUCAUACAGAUAAUAAUUAAAAUAAUUUAAAAUAAGUAAUAAAGUUCACGAAUUAUUUUUAUUUUGAAAUGUUCUAAAAAAUUUAACUUGUUAGUUUAAAUAUAAAAAUAAUUAAAAGGUUUCUUUUUUAAUAUUUUUUUAAAAUACAAAUAUUUUUUUAAAAUACAAAUAUUUUUUAUUUUACUUUUUUAUCGUUUACCUAUUCACGUACACUUUAUUUUUUUUACCUAUUCACAUAUAAUUUUUUCUCUUACUUAUUUUCAUAUAGCUUGUUCUAUAUAUUUUUUUCAUUUACCUUUUACUCAAUAAUAAAUCUUAUUAUAUUAUUAAUAAUUAUAAAAUCUAUUAUUUCAAUAAUCACAUAAUGAGUUUUUAAUCAUUAUUCAACAUUAAAGCUCAAUAAUAAACGGUCACUUAAUAUUAAAGUCCUUAAUGAUAUUAUUCAUUAUGUGUAUUAAAACUUAUUCAUGAAUAACUACCGUUUUUUACAUUAUAUAUAUAGUCUUUAUAAUUCAUUUGGGACUUCUAUCCAAAACUUAAACAUUCUCGUUCAGAGCUUUUCUCUCUAAAUUCUUUUUCUAGCACUCUUCUAUUCAAUGUUUCUCAGUUUUACUCAAUCACUCGCUAAUUUUCAACCUAUUCUCAAUCGUUAAUGUAUUUUUCAUUUUUUCUCUUUCACUUAUCACAAUAUUCAGUACUCCAAAAACUAUUUCAAUAUUUUUCUUGACUGUUUUCGAUAAUUUUUUUAUUCGUUUGCAACUUUCCUCUUUUUAUCACAACCACCCUAUAGUCUAUCACUUAUUUCAACAGCUAUUAAGUACAUUGUCUUUAAAAUAAAAAUAAACACAAAAAAUCUCAACAAAACAUGUCACAUAUGGUACAAACAAAAGCAAUGGACAUAAGGCAGAAACUAACUCAGCAGAAAGAUAUGAGACUUAGGCUAAAAAAACUAAUACAGCAGCUGAUAUUUAAGUCUACCAGCAGACUCAUCCACAGACUUCAACAAUAACUGUAAUCUAGCAACAGAGAACAAAGUUUGGUACUUCUGUCCUUCUCGUAUGCACCUUUUAGGCGUCAUGCUUGCAUGCGGAGUAAUAGAUAAAACAUGGGGAAUUUAAGUCAUUAUUUAUUACUUAAAGAUGCCAUGUGGUAGGGGCGCUUGCCAUCUUUUAUGGAAAAAAACGCAAGACAAAGGGUCUUACAUACACGUUCAUAUAAGACACAUAUGUUACUGGUACUGCUCCGAAUUCGAAAGUCGUGCAGCCGGUACAGCAACAAGAGGUUCCACUUUCUUCAAAGUUAUUCCAAAAUUUUCCUGUAUAUCAAGCUUAGUUCCUUCCGGUAAUUUCCAUUUGAAAGAAUGCACCAGGGCAGCUAAGACGUGUGGUAUCAUUCUUUCCGCCAUAGGAAUCCCUACACAAAUUCUCCUCCCUGACCCAAAUGGAGAAAAGUGGAAAUCGUUUCCUAGAUAAUAACCUUUCUCAGUGUCUUUCAAGAAUCUGUCAGGUUCAAAUUGAAGUGGAUCUUCCCAAAACUCAGGGUCUCUUUGUAUCGAACGUGCAUUAAUUAGAAUUCUGGAAUCUUUGGGAAUGGUGUAUCCAGCCAUAGUACAGGUCAUGCUGGGUUUGCGAGGCAAUAGCAACGGAGCAGGGGUAUGCAUUCUAAGUGUCUCCUUUACGACUGCUUCCAAAUAGAGCAGUCGAGAAAGAUGAGACUCUUCCACAAUGUUUUCGUUUCCAACCACUGUCUUCAAUUCCUCAAGGACUCUUCUCAUUUUAUCUGGAUGCCGCAGUAAUUCUGUCAUUGCCCACUCUAUUGUAGUAGAUGUUGUAUCCGAAGCACCGAGAAUCACAUCCUGCCCCCAAAUUAAAGGAUGGAGAAUUUUGUAAAAUUUCAAACCAUUUAAGAUGUAAUAUCAAAUAUCAAAACUAACUCUCUACUCCAACAAAAGCAUCAAACCAAAAGGAAAAUUUGAUUAAUAUCAAGAACAAUUCAAAAGUCUACAGAUCAAGUGACAUCCUCAAUACUACAUAUUUACAAAUUUGUUAACGUACAUGCAACUCAAUCUUGCAUUGGAUCCAUAUCAUAAACCUGUAUGUCUAGCAUAUUUAAUACACAAAAGAACAAUGAAAAUCAGAAACGUAACCAAACAAAACAUACACCACGAAACGAGAGGAAAAGUGUGGUGGUUUGUUCACUCUCCUUAUCACCCUAAAAGAGAAAAAAAAAUCCCCUUCGGACAUCGGUUACCAUAUCUCAUCAGAUGAUAGAUAGUUGAAAACAAUAAAGUAUUCAUAGAAUGGGAUUUGGGAGUAUAAUUAGAGUAUCAUUAAUAUAAUCAAUCGUUUUAAAAAAGAAAAGUCUUCACGGAGUAAAUAAUGAGAGUGUACCUAUAAAAAAAAUGUAUGGGGGAAUACAUAAUGCAAGGAAUACUGCCAAGGAACUAGCAGGAGGCAUUGAAAAGAAAGUGAGAGCAGACUCGAGUUUGUUAUCAGAAGUUUUGGCCUAUAAAGAAGGAUUGAAGUUGGUAAAAGAUUUAGAAUUUAAAAAUGUAACGUUAAAGACAGAUUCAGAAGUUUUUUAAAAGGAAUUAAGGCAUAAUGGAGAGGGAGCUCGUUGGGAGGUGUAGCCCUUUCUUGAAGACAUCCAAAGCUCAGUUGUGUCAAUAAAAAGGCUAAUUUGACGGCUGAUUGGGGUGCAACCCAAUCAAGAAAGAAAGGGGGUGAGCAUUGCAAAUUGAGUUUUAUUACAGCCAUCCUCUCUAGUCUUCAUCAUCAGUCGAGAUGGUCUAACAGCUCCCCCUUGAUUUUGUUUCAUUUUGCCUUUAGGAGUUGAGUUGCAAUAUCCUGCUCUCUAUGUAUGAAUAUUUUUUGUUACCCCUUCUAAGAAAACGAAAAAAGAAAGAAAGGAGGGCAGAUUUAAUUGAUUUUUGUUUUAUAAUCCAAACCUUGGUAGAGGAAAUUAUCGUAGAGAGGGGGAAAAUGGAAUAUCAAAAGUUCAUUGACAUACCAGCAGUAAAGCCUUCACUUCGUUCAUGGAUAGUGAGGUCUUACCACCUCCACGUUGGUUCAGUUCCAACAACAGCUGCAGAAAAUCCUUGCUUUCUUCCUUUUUCUUUCCCUCUCCAUCGGCCUGUUCAACCUUUGUACGGUGUACUAUCACAGAUUCAAAAACCUCAUAAAACCACAACAAAUUCUUCUUCGCCUUGGAUUGAAAACCUUGUGAAUCAAAUGCGGUAAGCACAGGAAAAACAUCUGAAACAUUAGGUGCUCCUACCAAUUCUACAAAUUCCACCGAUCGUCUCCCAAACUCAAUCCCAAGCCUGCUUCUAUCCUCUCCAUUCAAUGAAUCACCCCACAGCAUGCUUAUCACAACAUUUAGAGUGGUUAGGAACAUUUGUUCACCGAUGUUAACGGGUGAGCCGACCUUUCCGUAAAUAUCCUUCACCAUUUGUCGAAUCUCUCGUCGACGAAGCGUGUAGCAAGCAUCAAGGCUUCUUUUGCUCAUAAUUUCACGGACAACAAGCUUACGCAGCUUGUGCAAUUCGGGACCAUUAGGUCUCCACACCAUACAUGCCGACUACUGCAGGUGCUUCGCGGUUAGCGAAGAUAGCAUCAUGGUCUUUGAGGACCUCUUCGGCAACUGAAGGUGAACUUAUUACCACGCAGAUCUUGCUUCCGAGCUGGAGUUUGAUAAUGGGGCCAUAGAUUUGAGAGAGUUUGACAACGUAUUGAUAAAAAUCAGGUUGGAUGAAGGGAAGGUUUCCUAGUAUAGGCAAGCCCGAUGGAAGAGGUGGCAGGGGCGGAUUGCUUUUGGUGAAUUUGUUAGCCCACCGUGCAUAACAGAAAGUGGCCAGUGCGCCUGCCAAAAUAAUUUCUGCCGCUCUGAUGAUGUUAUACGCAGCGAGUCCACGGCAGCACCAUGACCAACCCUCGCAGGCAAGAACUGCAACCAUAUCAUAGAAGCCCGACAUCAUUAAGUUGUAUGUCCGA
rnacentral:lncRNA from 1 species